UCUCCGUUGGUGAACCAGCGGAGGGAUCAUUACAGAGUUGCAAAACUCCCAAACCUUUGUGAACGUUACCUAUCCCGUUGCUUCGGCGGGCGGCCCGGGCCCCGCCCCCGGCGCCCCCCGCCCCCCCGUGGGCGCCCGCCGUAGUUUAACCAACCCUUGAAUUUCAAGGCCUCUCUGGGUUUUCUGUACUGAAUAAGUCAAAACUUUCAACAACGGAUCUCUUGGUUCUG
rnacentral:misc_RNA from 1 species